rnacentral:rRNA from 1 species
UACGUAGGGGGCAAGCGUUGUCCGGAUUUAUUGGGCGUAAAGAGCGUGUAGGCGGCCAUACAGGUCCGUUGUGAAAACUGGAGGCUCAACCUCCAGACGUCGACGGAAACCGUAUGGCUAGAGUCCGGAAGAGGAGAGUGGAAUUCCUGGUGUAGCGGUGAAAUGCGCAGAUAUCAGGAAGAACACCCGUGGCGAAGGCGGCUCUCUGGGACGGUACUGACGCUGAGACGCGAAAGCUAGGGGAGCGAACAGG